rnacentral:tRNA from 1 species
GUCUGGGUGGCUCAGUCAGUUGAGCAUCUGACUUUGGCUCAGGUCAUGAUCUCGCGGUUCGUGAGUUCGAGCCCCACAUCGGGCU